rnacentral:sRNA from 1 species
GCCAGCGAGAGAGCGUGGCCGCAGGCAACGACCCGAAGGGCGAAGCGCGCAGCGCUGAGUAAUCCUUCCCCCACCACCA